rnacentral:tRNA from 1 species
GCCUCUGUGGCGCAGCGGUAGUGCGCUUGUCUGCGACACCGGAGGUCCCUAGUUCGAAUCUCGGCCGGGGCA